AUGAACUUCCUUCUUGUGAAAAUGCAAGGGAAAAAAUGUGCUAGACCAAAAAUCAGCUUCACACUCUGGUUGGUUGCCGAAACAGAAUGUGGUGCCUUCUUCGCAUUGGUGCCUUGUGACGGCCAAGCUCAGGAUGGGGAUUACAGGGAAAUUCUCGUGUGCCCAGCUUCUCUUACUACUUACAAAUACAGUGGCACUUUUUAAAAAUGGUAUAUCGCCUGCAUUCAUUUUGAGGAUUAUUUGGUCGCCCCAUCCAUUCCUCCCCAACAAUCGUCUUCUAUUGUGUUUUCUUUUCCCCUCUUCUGGUCAGACACUUGGUGCUUAUUCCUGAUGUGUUUGAUGUCAUUCCUGAGCUCCAAAAUUCUCUUCAAGACCAACUCUUACCUUCUGAGUGGUAGCUACCUCUCCCUCCCAAUUUUGGAUUCUAUUUUACAUACCUCUAGACCUUGCCUUUAAUUCAUGACUCAAUAUUAUUAGAUGGUUCAGACUUCAGCUUAAUCACCGGCAAGAUAGCAGCUGCUAAGGGCUAAUUUGUAAGGAAGGUGAGGGACAACCUCUUGGGAAUUUUGGCCAAUUGUCCCCCCUCCUGCUCUUUGUUUCCUGCCCGAAGUUCAGCUGGGACCACAGACUCUUCCAGGAGCUUUCCUGUGUUCUGAAGGGCUGGGGCCAUGGCUCUGAAAUGACCUAGCACUGUGUUUUGCACAAUCAGAAGCCUGAGAAAAGCAAACCAUUAUGACUGCAUCUCUGACAUUUGUAUCAAAUAAAAUGUCAGUGGAGAAUAUUCA
rnacentral:lncRNA from 1 species